rnacentral:misc_RNA from 1 species
AUGAAUUUUACCCUUUAAUAAUGACAUAUCUUACUCGAUAUGUCACAUCAGUGGCGGAUAAGUGGAAAAAGAAGAGAAAGGAAAAUAAAUAAGGAAAAAUAAUUUUGGAAAAACUUUUUCAUCAUUUGGAUAAGAGAAAGGAAAAUGAAGGAGGAAAGAAAAAUAAAUUUUAUUUUUCUCUAAUUAUUUUUUCUCUAAAUUAGAGAGAAAAUAAAAAAUCAAAGAAAAUAAAAAGAUUUUAG